AUCAAUAUGUGUACAAAAUUUUUGAAAGAAAUUUUACUCAUUGUGUUUAAUAGGUCUAUCUUGCGUGUCUUAAUCUGGUUUCACCAUAUACAUGUCAUUAAAGUAUAAUGCCAACACAUUAUUCUAAUUUUAGGAACUCUUUCUUACAUCUUCUCCUCUAAUUCAUACCUUCCUUUCCUUUUUCUUAUGUGCUUUAUUCUUAAGAAUUUACUGGGUUUAUUUCAAUGAAGACUCAAGUUUCAAUUUGGGUUUUGGUGAAUGGCACCAAGGGCCAUUUAUUAAAAUAGUCAUCGUAAAUAUAUAUGACUCAAAACGUCGACAAACACCGUCAUAAUUUUGCAAGUUUAGCUUCAAAGAAGCAAUGUAACUAACAGAGGGUCCAUGAAAAGAACACUGAUUGUUGGAAUGACCAAAACCAGAACUCGACAAAAAAAUUCUUUGCUUACAGUGGGGAAAUGAACCAACUAUGCAAGCUAAACCAUGUUUUCUUCAAAUAAUAAGAUGCAUAAAGUAUGAUACAGUCGUGGGAGCCAACAAGUUAAGAUGUUUGAUUCUUCAACAUAGUGUGAAGCAAAGUUUACUACAACUGAGUGUGCCUGCUAUAAAAUUAUGUCUUGUGCUAAGUUGAGUAUACAUGUUAUGAAAUUGUCUUGUGACUUUUUUUUUAUUACAAUCACUAUGUAGAUAUCGACUUAUGCAUCAGUUACGUCUUAACAAAUCUAUAUGUACUUUCAAAAAAAUUAUUUCAAAAUUAUCAUUAUUUGUAGUAGUUAA